GAUGAACGCUGGCGGCGUGCUUAACACAUGCAAGUCGAGCGGGCAAUUUAUCUAGCACUGAUUACUUCAAAUGGCUAUCGCCAGUGUAAUCAUGAAUUUCUACCUUUUAAUAAAGAAAAAGAAAUUCAUGUACGCAAAUAGUGAUAACACAUUUUAGUGGAGUGAUGAGUGCUGGAUAAAUUGCUAGCGGCGGACGGGUGCGUAACACGUGGGUAACCUGCCCCUAUCACUGGGAUAACACACUGAAAAGUGUGCUAAUACCAGAUAACAUAAGCUUUUGGCAUCAUUAGCUUAUCAAAGAAUUUCGGAUAGGGAUGGGCCCGCGUCUGAUUAGCUAGUUGGUGAGGUAACGGCUCACCAAGGCAACGAUCAGUAGCCGACCUGAGAGGGUGAUCGGCCACACUGGAACUGAGACACGGUCCAGACUCCUACGGGAGGCAGCAAUGGGGAAUAUUGCACAAUGGCGAAAG
rnacentral:rRNA from 1 species